GUUAAAGUAUAUCUCUUGUAUAAGUUUCUGUCUAGCCUCUUCAUAAUUUUCACAAAAUAGUAAAUAAUGUUCCACAGUUUCUAAUUGACCAUAGUACUAUAUGAUAAAAGGACGAGUUGGCGAAGGUACGAGUUGACAUCAUUCCGAGGACGAAGACAUGUGAAAUCGAAAGUAGACUUAAUUUUUACUGUGUUUUGUGUAUUAUGUAUACCUUAUCAUCUGUUUCAGUCUUGUUAAAUUACAUUUAUUUAACAGCUGUUGCUGUAAAUCUUUACUUUGACUGUACACACUGUUAAAAAUCUCCCUUUGUCGGGCUUUGAUUAACAAACAACAAACAAAUCGGAUAAUUCUG
rnacentral:lncRNA from 1 species